GAUGAACGCUAGCGGCAGGCUUAAUACAUGCAAGUUGAGGGGCAGCAUGAUAUACGCGAGUAUAUUGAUGGCGACCGGCGGACGGGUGAGUAAUAGGUAGGAGACCUACCUCAUACAGGGGGAUAGCAUAGAGAAAUCUGUGGUAAUACCCCAUGAGGUUAUAUGAAUAGAGGCAUAUAAUCAAAGCAUAAGCGAUUAUGCGGUAUGAGAGGGGCCUACUGACCAUUAGCUAGUUGGUGAGGUAAGGGCUCACCAAGGCGAAGAUGGUUAGGGGUUUUGAGAGAGAGACCCCCCACAUUGGAACUGAGAGACGGUCCAGACUCCUACGGGAGGCAGCAGUAGGGAAUAUUGGGCAAUGGGCGAAAGCCUGACCCAGCCAUGCCGCGUGAAGGAAGACGGGCCUUAUGGGGUUGUAAACUUUCUUUACUACGCGAAUAGAGGUUAGUACGAGAUACUAAUAGGAAGGUAGUGUAGUAAAAGCACCGGCUAACUCCGUG
rnacentral:rRNA from 1 species